CGAACGUGGGCAAGACGUGCCUGACUUACCGCUUCUGCGCCGGCCGCUUCCCCGACCGCACCGAGGCCACGAUCGGGGUGGACUUCCGAGAGCGAGCCGUGGAUAUCGAUGGAGAACGCAUUAAGGUGAGCGGAUGGGGCGGAGGCGCUGUCUCUACCGAGGGCCACCCCUUCUUGGCAGGUGUCCGGACCGCACCCAGGGUCUAGGCAAGUGUGUGCGCUCCUUGGGAAAGUGUGUUUGUAUAUAUCAAACUUCUGAGGCAGUGUUCCCCGACCUCUAAUGUGCAUCAGGUUUACCUGGGACAUCUUGUUUUUCAAAAAAGCAUGUUAUGAUUUGAUAAGCUCCCCUGUAACGCACAUGCAAUGAGUCUGUGGACCACACUUUUGAGUAUCAAGGGUGUUAGGGGGUGGUCAUCUCCCGCUCCCGUUGCUUGGGUGAGAGUUAAGGGCUGGGAGUUGCAUGACCUAAAGAAACCCAGAAAUUUCUCAAGCACAGAAAACUCCGUUAUAAGUUGGGUAUGGGAGCACACUCCAUAAAUCUCAGCACUCAGCGGCAGAAGCAGGCGGACCUCACAGAGACUAGGAUCUCUGUGAUUUUGAGGUCAGCGUGGUCUACAUAAUUAGUUCCAGGAUAGCCAGGGCUCUGUUACACAGAGAAACCCUGUCUCAAACAAACAAACAAACAAACAAACAAGCCCCAAACACCCAAAUUUAAAAACAAAACAAAAACCUCCGUUAUUUCUAGGAAUUCAUUUGAGCAUUGCACAAAUGCAAAGUAUUGUGGAAAUAAAACCUGUUGCCAAGCGCAAGGCCCUGGGUUCGAUCUCCAGCUCC
rnacentral:lncRNA from 1 species